rnacentral:rRNA from 1 species
AUUGAACGCUGGCGGCAGGCCUAACACAUGCAAGUCGAACGAGUGGCGGACGGGUGAGUAAUGUGUGGGAAACUGCCUGAUGGAGGGGGAUAACUACUGGAAACGGGAGCUAAUACCGCAUAGCGACGGAUGUGCGGAGAGUGGAUUAGCUAGUUGGUGGGGGAACGGCUCACCAAGGCGACGAUCCCUGGUUGGGCUGAGAGGAUGACCAGCCACACUGGAACUGUGGAACGGUCCAGACUCCUACGGGUGGCAGCAGUGGGGAAGAUUGCACAAUGGGCGCAAGCCGGAUGCAGCCAUGCCGCGUGUAUGAAGAAGGCCUUCGGGUUGUAAAGUACUUUCAGCGCGGAGGCGUUACCCGCAGAAGAAGCACCGGCUAACUCCGUGCCAGCAGCCGCGGUAAUUC